AUGGGGAGUCGUGACCUGCGCCCCGGGCCGGGGUCACUCACCGGCCUCGCUCUGGUUGUAGUAGCCGCGCAGGUUCCGCAGGCUCUCUCGGUCAGUCUGUGCCUGGGCCUUGUAGAUCUGUGUGUUCCGGUCCCAAUACUCCGGCCCCUCCUGCUCUAUCCACGGCGCCCGCGGCUCCUCUCUCGGACUCGCGGCGUCGCUGUCGAACCUCACGAACUGGGUGUCGUCCACGUAGCCCACUGAGAUGAAGCGGGGCUCCCCGCGGCCGGGCCGGGACACGGAGGUGUAGAAAUACCUCAUGGAGUGGGAGCCUGGGGGUGAGGAGGGGCUGAGACCCGCCCGACCCUCCUCCCGGCGCGGCUCCUCAGGUCCUGCGCCCCCGCCUGCGGUCCCCUCGCUCCUCCCGGCAGAGGCCAUUUCCCUCCCGACCCGCACUCACCGGCCCAGGUCUCGGUCAGGGCCAGGGCCGCCGAGAGCAGCAGGAGGACGGUUCGGGGCGCCAUGACCAGCAUCUCGGCGUCUGAGGAGACUCUGAGUCCGGGUGGGUGCGUGGGGACUUUAGAACUGGGACCGCGGCGACGCUGAUUGGCUUCUCUAGAUAUCCAAUACCCAAUGGGAGUGGGAAGUGGGGACGCGUCACGAGUAUCCUGGAAGAAGGACCCGACACAAGUUGGGAGAAGAAGUGAAACUCAGGGGAGUGGGGAAUCCCCAACGCUGCGCCUCCCCAUUGCAGACGCGGCCCUCGGAGCCUGAGACCCUGAGAGCCCCGUCCGGGACCUGGGACUUCGUCCUGAUCCCUCUUCUCCUACACCAAGCCUCUUUGUCACACUGUCUGCCUGAGUCCUGGACAAGGAUCUGUCUGUGGAAACCAGGGAGAGACCCCCAGGCUGCGCCCAGCCCCUUCCCCUUCACUUCUCGUCCUGGAAUCCCUGUCCCUGAACUGGACUCCCUGCCUCCCACUCCUUACCUCUCCUCUUGGACUCUUGUGUAG
rnacentral:lncRNA from 1 species